GCCCCCAGUCCCGCCCCGACAGAUCGUGUUCGUCCUCUAGAUCGCUGAGACGAGUAGACGACCGUCGUCUCCUCCCCGCCCCGCUCGCGCAAAGCCCGAGCCCUCCCACCCGAUAUCGCAACAGAGGUCCGCCCCGCCCCUCUGUUUAAUCCCGCGUGACAUGCAUCAGAUGCAGAUGCAACACCGCCACGACGUCGAACGGCGAUAGUGAGAUGUCCCACGCCACCUCCUCCUCUGCGCUCCCCGUUCCCCAGGUCGCGCGCACCUGCUCCCGCACCGGAGAACCCACCGCACGUUGGCCUCGUCCCGAGAUGUCGGCGACGCUGUGCUUCAUGGGGGUUGCGAGGGAGUCUCUGUCUCUGGACGCGCCCGUCGCCGCCCCCAAGCUCGGGAGGGAGCGGCGCUCGGCCCUCGCGAGCGCGAACUCGGGGCCACAAUGCUGGAGGUGGAGGAGGGGCCUGGCGAUGCGCUGCCAGACGGGGUCCACCGCAGCGCCCUUCCUCAGGACGGAGGAGGCCCCCGCGGCCGCGUCGGGGGCAAGGAAUGCCCAGGCGGGGUUCACCAUCGUCAUGAAGUUCGAUGGCUCGUCGCUCGCUUCAGUCGAGCGGAUGCGGGAGGUGGCCGGCCUCAUCCUUAGUGCAGGGGAAAGGACACGCCUUCCUCUCGACCGCACGGAAGGGAAGAUUCAUACCACAGCCGACAGAGUCAGGCGCAAGAUGGCUAUCACAGAACCGAUAUAGAGAUUGAUGUGUUUGCCGUGCGCUCCGGCAGCAGCGAUUCCGACAGGCCCCACGGCGGUCGCAACCCAGCCAGCGGCGAGAACCCUGGGACAAGGACAAUUACUAGCGUCGGCGCUACAGCAAGCGGAUCAGGCCAAGAGGACCUGCUUGUGGCCACCAAUAUUACAGAGGCGUGUAAGAGUGAAUCCAGUCUCGCUGCUCCGCCAUCGAAGCCGUCUGUAUCUUUUUGUUUUGUUUUGGUCGGAGUUUAUUUGCUCUAGAGAGACCAGUCACCUGGUAUGGAACAUCUACUAAUUUCAGAGAAUUUUGCAUGUUCGUCUCGGUGUGUCGUUACACAAUUUGCGGAUGUUGCAACGACACUGAAUCCUGCGUAGAGGUGACGGGCGGCGAAGAAGCUAGCCAAGCUGUGAAAACGGACACGGACAUAUGGGGUUUGUGCUAGAGGAUGCUAAAGGUCUAUCACUUAAUGGGGACCUCAAUGUGCAUCCAGUGAUUGCAAGGUCUUUUCCCCUACACACCCAAUCUUUUUGGUAAGAUGGUGAAAUGGAUUUGCCCACUUUAAGAUUGAGCAUACUGAGGUGUAUGUGUGUAUUUAUGUUUGUGUUUACCUCUUAAUUUUUGUCCUAUAUAUAAUUAUUUUUUUGCAUGAUAACUGGGAAUUGUAUGUUGUGUCACGACCAUCCAACAGUUUAUGAACUAUACUCAUCAAGUCUUGGUGGUGCUCCUAAUGCAAAUGGGGAUUCAAUGACAACACGAGUAGCUGUUGAUCACCAUAUGCAUCAAGAUUUUCAACCAACAAGUAAAAGUUCAGACAUGUCUUUCAGUCACAUUAUUGCUCUGGAUGUCAAGGAGCACCCUGUCGUCAUCUAUAUGAAGGGUUAUCCUGAUGCUCCUAGGUGUGGGUUCAUUGCAUUAGGAGUGAAGGUCGUCCAUCAAUAUGGUAAUUUGUCUAUAAGUGCGGCUUAUUUCAAAUGCAAGUUACGGUGGUAUCGUCUUCAAGCACACCUCUUCAAGCAGCAGUUGCCGAUGUUCAAAAGGUAUCGUAGUUUAACACACAAGUUACUGUGGUUUGUCAAAAAAAAGAACAAUAGCACAUCUUGCUGUUAUCAUACCACUUUAAUUUGUUGAAAGGAAAAGGUUCCAAAUAGAAGGCGAAUGUUGAGUUGUAACUCAUUUGUAUUU